AUGACGCCGCCGCCUGCACCGCCACCGAGGACGAGAUUACGAGAACCCACGCCCCAGCCGCCAUCGCCGCCGCCGAUCCCUUCGCCGUCGCCGCCGCCGGUCCCUGGCCGCCAUCGCAGAUCCCUUUGCUGCCGCCGAGGUCCUGGAGGAGCCGCCACCACCUUCAUUGCGGACCUCCAGGUCGCCGUCGGGACACCGCGGCAGAGGUUCGCCACGGCCGCCGUCGAGUUCCAAGAGGGGCAUGACCCCAGGGAGAUCUUCGUCGGGGUUGCCGCCGCCGCUGACGUCGCCUGCCGAAGAGAGGAAAGGUACGGUGCCGUCGAUCGUCCUGCCUAUGGAUUCACUGGAUGCGUCUUGGUGGAGUGA
rnacentral:rRNA from 1 species